rnacentral:rRNA from 1 species
GAUGAACGCUGGCGGCGUGCCUAAUACAUGCAAGUCGAACGGAAAGACGAGGAGCUUUCUCCUUUGACGUUAGCGGCGGACGGGUGAGUAACAAGUGGGUAGGCUACCUAUAUGACUUGGAGAAUUACGUGAAAACACAGCUACUACUGCCGAAUAUUUCGAACGGCUGGGUUCGAUAGUGAAACAAAGCUUUGCUAUCACUUAUAGAUGGACCUGCGCCAUAUUAGCUAGUUGGUAAGGUAACGGCUUACCAAGGCAACGAUACGUAGCCGACCUGAGAGGGUGAUCGGCCACACUGGAACUGAGACACGGUCCAGACUCCUACGGGAGGCAGCAGUAGGGAAUCUUCCGCAAUGGGCGCAAGCCUGACGGAGCAACACCGCGUGAGUGAUGAAGGUCUUCGGAUCGUAAAACUCUUUUAUUAGGGAAGAACAAACGCGUAAGUAUCUGUGGUCGUCUUGACGGUACCUAAUCAGAAAGCAACGGCUAACUACGUG